rnacentral:rRNA from 1 species
AACGAACGCUGGCGGCAGGCCUUAUACAUGCAAGUCGAGCGCUCUCUUCGGAGGGAGCGGCGGACGGGUUAGUAACGCGUGGGAAUGUGCCCUUCUCUAAGGAAUAGCCACUGGAAACGGUGAGUAAUACCUUAUACGCCCUUCGGGGGAAAGAUUUAUCGGAGAAGGAUCAGCCCGCGUUAGAUUAGGUAGUUGGUGGGGUAACGGCCUACCAAGCCGACGAUCUAUAGCUGGUUUGAGAGGAUGAUCAGCAACACUGGGACUGAGACACGGCCCAGACUCCUACGGGAGGCAGCAGUAAGGAAUCUUGGACAAUGGGGAAACCCUGAUCCAGCCAUGCCGCGUGUGUGACGAAGGCCCUAGGGUCGUAAAGCACUUUCGCCAGGGAUGAUAAUGACAGUACCUGGUAAAGAAACCCGGCUAACUCCGUGCCAGCAGCCGCGGUAA